UUACACUUAUAGAAUAUCUAGUACUUACUAAUGUAAUUAAGCACUCUGGAGAAUGCUUGUUCUUGUACUUAAGCACUUAUGUUAAAGCUAGGAAUUGUGCUUGUGCUGGUACUUCUAACACAUUUAAGUGCUUGUGUUUGUGUUUAAGUACAUUUCAUAGUGCUUGACCCCAUAUCUGACACGUAUAACAUAACUUUUCUUUAUUCAACUUAAGUUAACCUAGCCUGGCUUCAUUGCAUGUAAUGCCACUUCUGUCAAGUUCCUUCAUUCCAUUACUGUCACAUUUUUAUUCUUAACGCCUCCUGUAAUGAAUACACCAUUUCAAACUCCUCUCAUCAAAUUAUAUUUCUGUUAAAUAUAGAUUUAAUUUUGUUUUUACCAAAUAUUGUUUAUCUUA